AACUCCUGACCUCAGGUGAUGCACCCACCUUGGCCUCCCAAAGUGCUGGGAUUACAGCUGUGAGCCACCGGACCCAACAGCCUUCCUGUACUCUUAAUUUGUGUGAUUUGUGAAUAAGUGAUAUCUGCCAGUACUAUCAUUUGUCCUCUAGUUUUGUCUUUUAGCAUACACAACUUAAGAAAUUUGAAGUGGUCAAAUUAAUUAAUCUUCCAUACAACUUUUUAUUUUAUAUUUUAAGAAGCCUUCCUUACCCCAAGACAAAUAUAUUUUCCUAUAGUUUUUUGAAUACUUUUAUAGUUUAAAAAAAAAGAAACACAGGGUCUUUAAUUAAUCUGGAAGUUGUUUUGGGAAAUGGUAUGAGGUAGGGAUCCAACAUUUUUCUUUUCCAAAUAGCAAGUUUUGGCAACUCUUGAAAUACUAUAUUGCAAAUAUUCUGGAAAGCUAUUUAAAAUUAGAGUUCUGGCUGGGCGUGGUGGCUCACACCUGUAAUCCCAGCACUUUGGGAGGCCGAGGUGGGAGGAUUGCUUGAGCCCAAGAGUUCAAGAGUAGCCUGGGCAAUAUAGCGAAUGCUCGUCUCUACUAAAAAUUAAAAAAAAAAAAAUUAGCCUGGUGUAGUGGCAUGUGCCUGUGGUCCCAGGUACUCAGGAGGCUGAGGUGGAGGACUGUUUGAGCCCAAGAGAUUGAGGCUGCAGUGAGUUGAGAACAUGCCACUGCACUCC
rnacentral:lncRNA from 10 species